rnacentral:tRNA from 1 species
ACAUCGGUGGUUUAGUGGUAGAAUGCUCGCCUGCAACGCGGGCGGCCCUGGUUCGAUUCCCGGCCGAUGCA